AUCCUCGCGGACAGCGCGGCUGUGCCGGCGUCGAGCUGACGGGUACUGAAAGGGCGGAUUUGUGGAUGAGAAAUUCAAACUGAACUUCAUGUUCGGUUUUGACGGUUACUUGAUCCGUCCCGGUCUGAAUAUCAUUGGCCUUUUCAUGUGGAAGGAGAGGUGUGUAUUCUGUCCGUGGGCGAAUAUUUCAAAUAUCAGUGUGACUGGAAAAAAAAAUUACUGAGACACAGCCAAGUCAAUGUUAGUGUGGUGACUGUGGAGAAAGCGUUCAUUUGUUUUUAAAAGUCUGGAAAAACAUGACACAUUUCCCAGGAAAAAUUAAGUUACUGAUUUGUUCUGUAUGAAGACAGGUUUUUAAUUAACCAUCCAACCAGAAAGGCAUAAGGAUACCUGCACCAUGGAAAAAACUAUGAAAACAGGAUUGUUUAAAAAAGGGUGCUAGAUGGUUUGCAGACUGAAAUCUCAAAAUCAUGUGCAGGUCGUGAUUAAGUUAACCAGCAUUUGAAGAACAAAAGAGAGAAAAUCACUUGGCCAAAAUCCUGCAACACUCUCCCUCCCAGCAUUGUCGAUCUCUCUGUGCCAAUUGGGCUGUGAAUUGUACAUUUAUCUUUA